GUGGGGAAUCUUGCGCAAUGGGCGAAAGCCUGACGCAGCCAUGCCGCGUGAAUGAUGAAGGUCUUAGGAUUGUAAAAUUCUUUCACCGGGGACGAUAAUGACGGUACCCGGAGAAGAAGCUCCGGCUAACUUCGUGCCAGCAGCCGCGGUAAUACGAAGGGGGCUAGCGUUGCUCGGAAUUACUGGGCGUAAAGGGCGCGUAGGCGGACAGCUUAGUCAGAGGUGAAAGCCCAGGGCUCAACCUUGGAAUUGCCUUUGAUACUGGCUGUCUUGAGUUUGGGAGAGGUGAGUGGAACUCCGAGUGUAGAGGUGAAAUUCGUAGAUAUUCGGAAGAACACCAGUGGCGAAGGCGACUCACUGGCCCAAUACUGACGCUGAGGCGCGAAAGCGUGGGGAGCAAACAGGAUUAGAAACCCGUGUAGUCC
rnacentral:rRNA from 1 species